rnacentral:rRNA from 1 species
GACGAACGCUGGCGGCGUGCCUAAUACAUGCAAGUUGAGCGAUGAAGAUUGGUGCUUGCACCAAUUUGGAGAGCAGCGCACGGGUGAGUAACGCGUGGGGAAUCUGCCUUUGAGCGGGGGACAACAUUUGGAAACGAAUGCUAAUACCGCAUAACAACUUUAAACAUAAGUUUUAAGUUUGAAAGAUGCAAUUGCAUCACUCAAAGAUGAUCCCGCGUUGUAUUAGCUAGUUGGUGAGGUAAAGGCUCACCAAGGCGAUGAUACAUAGCCGACCUGAGAGGGUGAUCGGCCACAUUGGGACUGAGACACGGCCCAAACUCCUACGGGAGGCAGCAGUAGGGAAUCUUCGGCAAUGGACGAAAGUCUGGCCGAGCAACGCCGCGUGAGUGAAGAAGGGUGUCGGAUCGUAAAACUCUGUUGGUAGAGAAGAACGUUGGUGAGAGUGGAAAGCUCAUCAAGUGACGGUAACUACCCAGAAAGGGACGGCUAACUACGUG